CGUGGGGUGAGAACCAACUCCAUGGUUCCCAGUGGGUACGGCCACCCAAGGGAAAAGCUCGACCGACAGGUUCAAAGGAGGCAACUGCAGGUUAGUUUAAUAAACAGAUAGAUAGAUAUUUUGACUAUGCAAUUAAUAGAACCAUACCUUGCCUCGCAAUUGUAACAAUGCUAUGCAAUAUGCAAUACCUGUAAAUCAUGCAAGUAGAUUACUUGAUCUACUUUAUAUCAUUAACCAUACUUUACUUGUAGCCGUUCUUUUCUUUAUUAGCUAUUCACGUUCGUUAGUUAUUCUUUAUUCUUUACUCUUUGUCUUAUUGUGCUCACUGGCGAUUCUUUCCUAAGGUUAUUUUACCUUAGCCAUCUAUGCCACUCGACUCGGUCUCGAGUCAAUCAACUGCGGAUAGUCCGCACUCUGUCCGGCUCAAGGUGAAGGACCUCUCACUUACACCUCAGCCUUCAGUCUACAAACAUCUCGCCAACGGGUCGCCCAGAGCUGCGUACACCCGUGGUCAGGGAUCUUUCCGGUGGGAAGGGGAUUAUACCACAAACUCAACCCGCGGCCCAAGACCCCCGAUAGGGAAGGGGACAUGCCACACUCAACCCUAGCAAAGCACGAUUCUGCCGACAGGAGGGGGAACCUGCCACACUCGACCCGCGGCCUCGAAUCAGCCUCAAGCUCAUCCUCGAAGUUCGUCCAGUGGGAGGGGACCCUGUCACACUCAACCCACUGCUCUAGAACUGUCGAGUUCACAAUCCUAAGAUUCCGGAAUCUAUUUCCCAAGCCUCUAGGGUAAUCUCAAACCCUAUGAUAUCGACCUAUCUAGGUCCAAUGCACUUUCUGUCCUAGGUCUAGCUGACUCUAGGUUUAAUGCCUUUUUUCACAUAACCUAUGUUCUUUAAACUAGGUUAAGCCUCUCUACCUAGAUCUUAUUAACUCUAGGUUCAACAACACUAAGUUCAUUGUCAACCUAGGUUUACCAACACUAGGUUCGAUAUCGAUUUACCUAGACCUUGAAUCUAGGUUCAUUAUGUUCAACCUAUGUUCACGACACUAGGUUAAUGCCACUCGAUCUAGCCUAGGUUCACGACACUAGGUUUAACAUCAUUCAUAUUCAUCCUAGGUUCUUGACCCUAGGUUCAUAUUCGACCUAUGUUAAUUACACUAGGUUCGGCGCCACUCGAUCUAGUUGGCCCUACUUGUCCACAUCGAGUUUCUAUAAUCAUAUAUACUCUAGCAUGCAUUCUAUGAUGCCGACAUGCAUCUACAUUUAACAUAGCCUACAUUAUCAUCGUGCAUGUUAUACAUGUAUAGCUUUUCUCAUCAUGUCAAUAAGCAUUAUCCUCUCGCAUGCAUUUUCAUAAGGUCAAUAUGCUCUUGUCAUCUAACUUGUAUUCACAUGAUGCACUUAUGCAUUUUAUCCAACCGCACUUACAUGCUCUAUUAUGAGUUGACAUGAACUAGCACUUGCAUAUAAUUCCAAUGCAUCAACAUGCCAUUAGCAACUAGCAUAAUUACUAUCAUUUAGUACAUGCAUCUUAACUAACAUGCUCACAUAAUGUUACAUGCACCUAGCAUACAUUCCAAUGCACAAAUAUAUCGCUUGUAUCUAGUUACUAGCAUGUACUUCCCAAUGCAUUAUUAUGCAAUUAUCACUAAACAUUACCCAACAUGAUCUCAUAACUCAUAAGGUUAACAAUAGGUUAACAUUCAUUUAUAUGCUCAUGUUCUCUAAUACAUGUCAACAUGAAUCUCAUAAUGCUAAAUGCCCCAAGCAUGUAUUUCACUAAGCAUACAUACUAAUAUGCAAAUUACCAACUAGCAUGCAUUUAUACAAUGCAAAUAUGCCCGUAUGCACAUACAUAUAUGCAUCAACCAAAAAUCCAUAUUUCGCUUUGACAUGUGGGGCGACCAAGUCGCUUCGGUAAGCACAACCCACCUUAACACGCGUUCCGAUUGCUUGUCGACACUUGCAAUCGGCCGCCCGCGGCACCCGGCACCCGGUUUGGCCCGAUCUCACAAUUGCGGUCCAAGAGCGCGCCGCUUCGCUGUUUCAAGUGUAGAAGCUCUUCGCCACGCUAACACGAUGCCUCAAAUCCAUUUCCAUGAUUUUACGACGUCGCCUCGGCCCUCCCGGCGGACCCGAAGCCUAAACGUCCGUUUCUUUAAUAACUUCGCAACGGCUCGUCGGAUUGCCGAACCGUCUUCGCCAACGCGUUUCGUUACCUAGCAAUUAGGUUUACGGAUGGUCAAAUUAGAUCAAACCCUCAUAUUUUGAAAAUUAGCAUUUUGGAGCCCUAGGUUAUAACUAUGCAAGAAAUCACCAAAUUGAUUCAUGAUUUAAGCAUCAUUCAUCUAGAUAGCAAGCUAGGAUUCCUCUAAAUCUAUUUAUAAGCUAUUUAAACCAACCAUUAAGGAUCUACCAUGAGAGGGCUCAAGAAGCUCACCUCAAAAUUAGCUCCAAAUCAUGGAGAAGAUGAAGAAGACAAUGGUGAUCCACUCCCGAGCUUCAAUCUCCACCAAUUCCUUUAAAUUUUGGAGAGAUUUAGAGAGAGAAAGAGAGGGUUUUCUUUUCUCCUUCCAUGCGUGUGUGUGUUGUGUGCGUGUGAUGUGUUCGGCUGGGAGGAAGAAGAAGCAAAGGGGAUUUAAUCCCUUUUUACCAUUUUGCCCUCAACUACACACUAUUCAUUACGGGCAGCUUGAAAUCUGAUAAAUUUCGUUGGAGCCCUUCUGAAUGUCCGAUUGAGCUCAAAUUUGACAGGCAUGUUCGGUUUUACUUAAUGAGUCCAAAGAAAUUUUAAUAUUUCAGUUUCGACCCCGUUUGGUCACCGAAAGCUGUACCGAACUGUAAUCUUUAUCAAAUAGCUUUCGGAUUCUACUUUUCACCUUCCGGGUGUCAGAAUGGCAUGGAACUUUAAAUCUAGCAUCAUAAAAAUAUUUCUGACAUCUCCGCUAAUUUUCAUAAUUUUCUGACACUGUGCAUUUUCUGCUAAUUUAUCUGCCCCGUUUCUUACAGAAAAUUCUAAAUCUUCUGUUGUCGCUCCGAUUUCAGCACAGGUCAUUUCCAACUUAUACUUUACACCCUUAAAUCCAAUAAAAAUAGUAUCUCAUACUAUUUUUAUUUAUUUUCACUUUUAUAUUUAAAAUCCGGUAUGUUACAUUCCGCCGCAACCUCACCGGAGCCAUU
rnacentral:lncRNA from 1 species